CCCUACGGGGUGCAGCAGGCGCGAAACCUCCGCAAUGCUCGAAAGAGCGACGGGGGGAUCUCAAGUGCCCACGCUUUGCGCGGGCUGUUUCUAUAUCUAAAAAGUAUGGAGAGUAAGAGCUGGGUAAGACGGGUGCCAGCCGCCGCGGUAAUACCUGCGGCUCUAGUGGUGGCCGCUAUUAUUGGGCCUAAAGCGUUCGUAGCCGGUCGGGUAAAUGCUUGGGUAAAUCGCGUGGCUCAACCAUGCGAAUUCCUAGUAGACUGCUCGACUAGGGACCGGGAGAAGUUGGAAGAAUUCCAGGGGUAGGGGUGAAAUCCUGUAAUCCUUGGAGGACUACCGGUAGCGAAGGCGUCCAACUAGAACGGGUCCGACGGUGAGGGACGAAGCCCUGGGGAGCGAACCGGAUUAGAUACCCGGGUAGUCCAGGGUGUAAACGAUGUGGGCUUCGCAUUGGAGGUCCCAAUGAGGGCGUCCAGUGCGGGAACGAAGGCGUUAAGCCCACCGCCUGGGAAGUACGGUCGCAAGGCUGAAACUUAAAGGAAUUGGCGGGGGAGCAC
rnacentral:rRNA from 1 species